AAUUUAAUAUAAAAUUUAGGUGCCUUUAUAUAUGUAAAGGUGAAAAGGGAAUGUGGUUAGAAUCCACAACAGCCCCCGCUACUGUAAUUGAUGACAAUUCUUUAUAGUCCACUCUAUUCUUAUAGGGGAAGGAAAAGAUGAGGAUGAUUCAUAAGUCAGGAGACCUGCCUAAAUUUGCGUUUUUAA
rnacentral:ncRNA from 2 species